UACGGGGGGGGCAAGCGUUGUUCGGAAUUACUGGGCGUAAAGGGCUCGUAGGCGGCCAACUAAGUCAGACGUGAAAUCCCUCGGCUUAACCGGGGAACUGCGUCUGAUACUGGAUGGCUUGAGUUUGGGAGAGGGAUGCGGAAUUCCAGGUGUAGCGGUGAAAUGCGUAGAUAUCUGGAGGAACACCGGUGGCGAAGGCGGCAUCCUGGGCCAACACUGGAGCUGAGUGAGCGAAAGCCAGGGGAGCAAACGGG
rnacentral:rRNA from 1 species